AGCCUGAUGCAGCCAUGCCGCGUGUGUGAAGAAGGCCUUCGGGUUGUAAAGCACUUUCAGUCAGGAGGAAAGGUUAGUAGUUAAUACCUGCUAGCUGUGACGUUACUGACAGAAGAAGCACCGGCUAACUCCGUGCCAGCAGCCGCGGUAAUACGGAGGGUGCGAGCGUUAAUCGGAAUUACUGGGCGUAAAGCGUACGCAGGCGGUUUGUUAAGCGAGAUGUGAAAGCCCCGGGCUCAACCUGGGAACUGCAUUUCGAACUGGCAAACUAGAGUGUGAUAGAGGGUGGUAGAAUUUCAGGUGUAGCGGUGAAAUGCGUAGAGAUCUGAAGGAAUACCGAUGGCGAAGGCAGCCACCUGGGUCAACACUGACGCUCAUGUACGAAAGCGUGGGGAGCAAACAGGAUUAGAUACCCUGGUAGUCCACGCCGUAAACGAUGUCUACUAGAAGCUCGGAACCUCGGUUCUGUUUUUCAAAGCUAACGCAUUAAGUAGACCGCCUGGGGAGUACGGCCGCAAGGUUAAAACUC
rnacentral:rRNA from 1 species